rnacentral:rRNA from 1 species
GAUGAACGCUGGCGGCGUGCCUAAUACAUGCAAGUCGAGCGAACAGACGAGGAGCUUGCUCCUCUGACGUUAGCGGCGGACGGGUGAGUAACACGUGUAUAACCUCCCUAUAAGACUGGGAUAACUUCGGGAAACCGGAGCUAAUACCGGAUAAUAUAUUGCACCGCAUGGUUCAAUAGUGAAAGACGGUUUUGCUGUCUCUUAUAGAUGGAUCCGCGCCGCAUUAGCUAGUUGGUAAGGUCACGGCUUACCACGGCAACGAUGCGUAGCCGACCUGAGAGGGUGAUCGGCCACACUGGAACUGAGACACGGUCCAGACGCCUGCGGGAGGCAGCAGUAGGGAAUCUUCCGCAAUGGGCGAAAGCCUGACGGAGCAACGCCGCGUGAGUGAUGGGGGUCUUCGGAUCGUAAAACUCUGUUAUUAGGGAAGAACAAAUGUGUAAGUAACUGUGCACGUCGUGACGGUACCUAAUCAGAAAGCCACGGCUAACUACGUG